UCACCUGUCCCAUCUGCAUGAACUACUUCCUAGACCCAGUCACCAUAGACUGUGGGCACAGCUUUUGCCGGCCCUGUUUCUACCUCAACUGGCAAGACAUGGCAGUUGUUGCUCAGUGCUCUAAAUGCAAGGAGACAACAUGGCAGAGAAACCUCAACACUGACAUUUGUUUGAAGAACAUGGCUUCCAUUGCCAGAAAAGCCAGCCUCCGGCAAUUCCUUAGCUCUGAAGAGCAAAUAUGUGGGAUGCACAGAGAGACAAAGAAGAUGUUCUGUGAAGUGGACAAGAGCCUGCUCUGUUUGCUGUAUUCCAACUCUCAGGAGCACCGGAAUCACAGACACUGUCCCAUUGAGUGGGCUGCUGAGGAACGCCGGGAGGAGCUCCUAAAAAAAAAUGCAGUCUUUGUGGGAAAAAGCUUGUGAAAAUCUCAGAAACCUGAACAUGGAAACCACCAGAACAAGAUGCUGGAAGGAUUAUGUGAGUUUAAGGAUAGAAGCAAUCAGAGCUGAAUAUCAGAAGAUGCCUGCAUUUCUCCAUGAAGAAAAACAACAACAUUUGGAGAGGCUGUGAAAGGAGGGCGAGGACAUUUUUCAGCAACUCAAUGAAAGCAAAGCCAGAAUGGAACAUUCCAGGGAGCUUUUAAGAGGAAUGUAUGAGGAUCUGAAGAAAAUGUGCCAUAAAGCAGAUGUGGAGCUACUCUAGUACGAACUGACCAUGGGGUAUCAUGAUGAUGAAGAUUCACGUGCAUGGGUGUUUUUCCUCUCUCCUGAAAUCCGUCUCCCCCUUUACUUCCAUGAUUUGUUUCCAAAAACACGAUUUGAUAACUAAUGCUACUUGGUUGGGAGGGUAUAGCCUCUCCUAGUGAUUCUACCAGAACGAAGGUCCCUCCUACUUUAUCCACCAGCAACAAAACUUUGUGGAAUGACCAAGUCUUUUGGAGACAUAUUACAAAGGUAUGAGUCUCUGCUGCUGCAAGUGUCUGAGCCUGUGAAUCCAGAUUUCAGUGC